GGGUUGUGAGGUUAAGCGACUAAGCGUACACGGUGGAUGCCCUGGCAGUCAGAGGCGAUGAAGGGCGUGCUAAUCUGCGAUAAGCGCCGGUAAGGUGAUAUGAACCGUUAUAACCGGCGAUACCCGAAUGGGGAAACCCAGUGUGACUCGUCACACUAUCAUUAACUGAAUCCAUAGGUUAAUGAGGCGAACCGGGGGAACUGAAACAUCUAAGUACCCCGAGGAAAAGAAAUCAACCGAGAUUCCCCCAGUAGCGGCGAGCGAACGGGGAGGAGCCCAGAGCCUGAAUCAGCAUGUGUGUUAGUGGAAGCGUCUGGAAAGGCGCGCGAUACAGGGUGACAGCCCCGUACACAAAAGCGCAUGUGCUGUGAGCUCGAUGAGUAGGGCGGGACACGUGGUAUCCUGUCUGAAUAUGGGGGGACCAUCCUCCAAGGCUAAAUACUCCUGACUGACCGAUAGUGAACCAGUACCGUGAGGGAAAGGCGAAAAGAACCCCGGCGAGGGGAGUGAAAAAGAACCUGAAACCGUGUACGUACAAGCAGUGGGAGCCCCACCACUAAGCCAGUGGUGAACUCCACAUACGCAUCCUUUGCUGAGGAUACGGUUAAGGGAGCGAAAGCGACGUUCAACCGCAAAAGAAGCAGAGGGGGCUUAGUGGUGGGGUGACUGCGUACCUUUUGUAUAAUGGGUCAGCGACUUAUAUUCUGUAGCAAGGUUAACCGUAUAGGGGAGCCGUAGGGAAACCGAGUCUUAACCGGGCGUUAAGUU
rnacentral:rRNA from 1 species